rnacentral:rRNA from 1 species
UACAGAGGUCUCAAGCGUUGUUCGGAUUCAUUGGGCGUAAAGGGUGCGUAGGUGGCGUGGUAAGUCGGGUGUGAAAUUUCGGAGCUUAACUCCGAAACUGCAUUCGAUACUGCCGUGCUUGAGGACUGGAGAGGAGACUGGAAUUUACGGUGUAGCAGUGAAAUGCGUAGAGAUCGUAAGGAAGACCAGUGGCGAAGGCGGGUCUCUGGACAGUAACUGACGCUGAGGAGCGAAAGCGUGGGGAGCGAACAGG